UGUCAAGUGAGGGCUCUCUUCCAGGCCUCCCCAGCCUUUUCACUAUCCCCGUGUACCCGGGAGCAUCAUGAACUUGCUGUGAUGUUCAACCAAACAUUCACACGAGUCCAGUGACCAUCAGAGUCUUCGGCCUCAAAGAACGCACAGAAGGAACAAAGGUAAAAGAUGUCUUUCUUCCUAAUGCCGAGGCCGAGCUAAGCAUAUAUAAGUGCUGAUAAUUGUAUUGCAUUCUUUUCGGGGAAUCUUUGAGAAGCAGGAAAGGGCAUUCUCUGCCAUCAUGUAUUUGUGCAGAAAAUGCUUAUAUAGCAGCUCUGCUCAUGAAGGUUAAUAUAUGUCCAGUUCUUAAACUGCCUUGGCCCAGACCUAGAAAUACUGAUUUUACUUCUAAUGCUUUAAAUUCCUUUCGUGGUCUUAGUGUUUCAAUUUCAUGCCUACAAUUAACUCCUCAGAGACCUGCACCACAUCUGUGCUGUAUGUUAGCUUUCUUGCCUCAAACAUCAUCCUGGUUGCAUAUCAAGUAAUGGAUUAAUGGGCAAGAAAUAGGCCCGGUCAUGAAAACAAAUGAAAUAAUGGCCCAGAAUCGUGCUGAAAUAGUAAAAAAAAAAAACAACAACAACAACAAAAAAACAAAAAACCAUCCAACUCUUGGCAUAUAGACUUUUUGCCAAAACAUGAUGCCAGUGUUAAAAGUGAAUUUAUAAGGACAAAAUAGCUGAUGUUUAUUGAGCAUUUAUAGUAUUCCAUAUACUAUGCAAAGCACUCCAUAGCUAAUUGUCUCAUUUAGCACUGAGAACGAUUCUAGGAGUUGUUACUGUUUAUGAUUAGACACUAUUGGUAUUAAAUGUGUGCCGCCAAUAUUCAGUGUGACUCAUGUGGUCCUUACAUGGGUUGAUGAUAUCUUGUACUAUGUGAAGAUUUUGUAGUGUUUAUUAUAUAUCUCAUCGGCGUUUUUUUUUUUUUUAUGUUAGUUGCUGAAAGAAAAAGGUCCCUAAAACUAGUUGCAUAAAGAACAAAAACAUUUAUCUCUCUUUCAUGUAAAAAUCCAGGAAGUAGGUUUCAGAUUGGUUGGUGGCUACACUCCACACGGCUGUUUAGAGACCUUGGCUUCUGUAUUUUUUUCCCUAUCAUUUCCUAGCUAUGGCCUAGAGUUAAGAUAUCAGACCAGUAAUGACAUAUAUCAUUUCUAUUUAACUUUGGAGAAAACUUAGUUGUAUAGGCUAUAACUUCAUAUGACUUCAAAGAAGACUAGGAAUUAUAUCUGCUGGCCAGCGAGGUGUUUGGCUACAGUUCUAUCACUUUGAACAAGGGAUGAAUAAAAUUCAGUAAGUAGCUCACUGUGUCCAUCACAGACUUCAGUAAACACACUGUAAGCAAUUAGAGAGCUAAGUCUCUGUCUUAUUCACAUUUGUCCCAAUGGCAGGGUAAAACACCUGCUAUAGAAAUAACAAACGCUUGACUCAUGUGCCAGAUUGCCUGACUCUGGUGCCAAAGGCAGACAUCACUAGUCAGUCAUGAAACUCUUUCCUGAUACCCUGGUUAUGCCCUCAGAAUCUUCUGCAAUACAGUGUCUCUGGAAGCCACUAGCAAUCAGUGGGAACUGACACAUGAUUUGAACCCUAUCAGCCAUUCCUGAUUGUAG
ensembl:lncRNA